rnacentral:rRNA from 1 species
UAGGGAAUCUUCGGCAAUGGACGAAAGUCUGACCGAGCAACGCCGCGUGAGUGAAGAAGGUUUUCGGAUCGUAAAACUCUGUUGUUAGAGAAGAACGUUGCAUAGAGUGGAAAAUUAUGCAAGUGACGGUAUCUAACCAGAAAGGGACGGCUAACUACGUGCCAGCAGCCGCGGUAAUACGUAGGUCCCGAGCGUUGUCCGGAUUUAUUGGGCGCAAAGCGAGCGCAGGUGGUUUAAUAAGUCUGAUGUAAAAAGGCAGUGGCUCAAACCAUUGUGUGCAUUGGAAACUGUUAGACUUGAGUGCAGUAGAGGAGAGUGGAAUUCCAUGUGUAGCGGUGAAAUGCGUAGAUAUAUGGAGGAACACCGGUGGCGAAAAGCGGCUCUCUGGACUGUCACUGACACUGAGGCUCGAAAGCGUGGGUAGCAAACAGGAUUAGAUACCCUGGUAGUCC